CUAGCGAGACUGCCAGCGAUAAGCUGGAGGAAGGUGGGGAUGACGUCAAAUCAUCAUGCCCCUAUGACCUGGGCUACAAACGUGAUACAAUGGCUGGAACAAAGGGAGGCGAAGGGGUGACCUGGAGCGAAACCCAAAAAUACAGUCUCAGUUCGGAUUGAAGUCUGCAACUCGACUUCAUGAAGUCGGAAUCGCUAGUAAUCGCGGAUCAGAACGCCGCGGUGAAUACGUUCUCGGGGUUU
rnacentral:rRNA from 1 species